rnacentral:rRNA from 1 species
CCUACGGGAGGCAGCAGUGGGGAAUAUUGGACAAUGGGGGCAACCCUGAUCCAGCCAUGCCGCGUGUGUGAAGAAGGCCCUCGGGUUGUAAAGCACUUUCAGUGAGGAAGAACGCCUGGUGGUUAAUACCCAUCAGGAAAGACAUCACUCACAGAAGAAGCACCGGCUAACUCCGUGCCAGCAGCCGCGGUAAUACGGAGGGUGCGAGCGUUAAUCGGAAUUACUGGGCGUAAAGCGCGCGUAGGUGGCUUGAUAAGCCGGUUGUGAAAGCCCCGGGCUCAACCUGGGAACGGCAUCCGGAACUGUCAAGCUAGGGUGCAGGAGAGGAAGGUAGAAGUCCCGGUGUAGCGGUGAAAUGCGUAGAGAUCGGGAGGAAUACCAGUGGCGAAGGCGGCCUUCUGGACUGACACUGACACUGAGGUGCGAAAGCGUGGGUAGCAAACAGGAUUAGAUACCCCAGUAGUC